GGCCAGACUCCUACGGGAGGCAGCAGUGAGGAAUAUUGGUCAAUGGCCGAGAGGCUGAACCAGCCAAGUCGCGUGAGGGAAGACGGCCCUACGGGUUGUAAACCUCUUUUGUCGGGGAGCAAAGCGAGUCACGUGUGACUCAUUGAGAGUACCCGAAGAAAAAGCAUCGGCUAACUCCGUGCCAGCAGCCGCGGUAAUACGGAGGAUGCGAGCGUUAUCCGGAUUUAUUGGGUUUAAAGGGUGCGCAGGCGGAGGUGCAAGUCAGCGGUCAAAUUGCGGGGCUCAACCCCGUACUGCCGUUGAAACUGCAUCCCUUGAGUGCGCGAGAAGUAUGCGGAAUGCGUGGUGUAGCGGUGAAAUGCAUAGAGAUCAUACAGAACACCGAUUGCGAAGGCAGCUUACCAAGCUACUUCUGACGUUGAGGCACGAAAGCGUGGGGAGCAAACAGGAUUAGAUACCCCUGUA
rnacentral:rRNA from 1 species